rnacentral:rRNA from 1 species
CGUCUAUAUACGUAUAGCAUAUCAAUAAGCGGAGGAAAAGAAACUAACUAGGAUUCCCUCAGUAACGGCGAGUGAAGCGGGAAGAGCUCAAAUUUGAAAUCUUCAAGGUUCUACCUUGACGAAUUGUAGUUUAAAGAAGUGUUUUCUGUUGGAGUUUUGGUAAAAGUUCUUUGGAAUAGGACAUCAUAGAGGGUGAGAAUCCCGUAUUUGACCAUUAUUUCCAACUUUGUGAUACACUUUCAAAGAGUCGGAUUGUUUGGGAAUGCAGUCCAAAAUGGGUGGUAAAUUUCAUCUAAAGCUAAAUACUGGCGAGAGACCGAUAGCGAACAAGUACCGUGAGGGAAAGAUGAAAAGAACUUUGAAAAGAGAGUUAAACAGUACGUGAAAUUGUCAAAAGGGAAGCGUUUGACAUCAGUGUUGUUUAGUUCGAAAAUCAAUUCAUGAUGGUUUGAUUGUGAGUAGUAAUUGACUUCAUCAGCUUACUGCUCUCGUUUUCUGUAUUAUGUGAAUGCACUUUUCAGUUAACAAGUCAACAUCAAUUUCUUUUGUUGUAAAAGGGUAAGAGGAAGGUGGCUUACAGCUUCGCGUGAAGUGUUUAUAGCCUUUUACCUCUGCAAUCGGAGAGAUUGAGGUCUGCAGCGUAGAUCCUUCGGGGUUAGAUACACUUGUGCUAAGCUAUAGCCUUGUAUAGACAACUUGUUGACUAUGCUCAGUCAUGUAGCUUACUCGCUUGUGCUAUAUUACCUACGCUUAGGAUGUUGAUAGUCACAGCGUGUAC